rnacentral:tRNA from 1 species
CUGUCGUUACCCCACAGGGUAGAGCAGUUGACUUUUAAUCAAUUGGUCGCAGGUUCGAAUCCUGCACGACCCACCA